rnacentral:rRNA from 1 species
UACGUAGGGUGCGAGCGUUAAUCGGAAUUACUGGGCGUAAAGGGCGCGUAGGCGGUCGUGACAAGUCACUUGUGAAAUCUCCGGGCUUAACUCGGAACGGUCAAGUGAUACUGUCGGACUAGAGUACAGAAGGGGCAACUGGAAUUCUCGGUGUAGCGGUGAAAUGCGUAGAUAUCGAGAGGAACACCUGCGGCGAAGGCGGGUUGCUGGGCUGAUACUGACGCUGAGGCGCGAAGGCCAGGGGAGCGAACGGG